rnacentral:rRNA from 1 species
AUUGAACGCUGGCGGCAGGCUUAACACAUGCAAGUCGAACGAGUGGCGGACGGGUGAGUAAUGUCUGGGAAACUGCCUGAUGGAGGGGGAUAACUACUGGAAACGGUAGCUAAUACCGCAUACCAUCAGAUGUGCCCAGAUGGGAUUAGCUAGUAGGUGGGGUAAAGGCUCACCAAGGCGACGAUCCCUAGCUGGUCUGAGAGGAUGACCAGCCACACUGGAACUGAGACACGGUCCAGACUCCUACGGGAGGCAGCAGUGGGGAAUAUUGCACAAUGGGCGCAAGCCUGAUGCAGCCAUGCCGCGUGUAUGAAGAAGGCCUUCGGGUUGUAAAGUACUUUCAGCGGGGAGGCGUUACCCGCAGAAGAAGCACCGGCUAACUCCGUGCCAGCAGCCGCGGUAAUUC